UUUGCUAUUGGCAUCAUUGUAUAAGAUAUGGGAGGAGGCUUGGCCUGGCGCUGGCAGUGGAGGAUGGGCUCUUGAUAUCGGGGGCUCAGUUUGGCUCUAUGCUGUGAAAAAUGUUGCUCUGCUCGUGCUCACGCUACCCAAUCACAUACUCUUCAAUCGGUUCAUGUGGGACUAUGUCAGGCAGACCGAUUCAAAGCUACUUCUGACACUGCCUCUCAACCUGCCAUCGAUUAUAAUGACAGAUGUACUUUCUGUGCGGGUUUUAGGGCUGUUGGGAGCUAUUUAUUCUCUAGCACAGUACCUGAUAUCAAGGCGGAUAAGAAUUGCUGGGAUGAAAUAUAUUUGAGGUAAAUCUUGUGUUCCUUGGCGCAACUGCUGUCAGUCGAGUCUUCAACUUCCUGAAGCAGAUCCUUGUGGUAGAGAGAAUCAGAGAAACAAUGCUCGAUGGUAAUCACUUUUGUACUGGAUGAUUGUUAUACUGGUUUACCCUUGAGGUGUUGUACUGUAGAUGUUUUGCACAGGACAUAAAAUGCAUCACCAUGGGUCCUUUACUAUGGGCUUGUAGCAAGAAAGAAAAGAAUUGCUGUUUUUCACUUGACUAAUUUUAAUGCGUUUUCAGUCGAA
rnacentral:lncRNA from 1 species